rnacentral:rRNA from 1 species
GGGCCCGCACAAGCGGAGGAACAUGUGGUUUAAUUCGAUGAUACGCGAGGAACCUUACCCGGGCUCGAACGGUGUUUGAAUAAGUGUGAAAGCAUUUAGCCAGCAAUGGCAGACAUCGAGGUGCUGCAUGGUUGUCGUCAGCUCGUGCCGUGAGGUGUCGGCUUAAGUGCCAUAACGAGCGCAACCCUUAUCUUUAGUUACCAUCAGGUCAAGCUGGGGACUCUAGAGAGACUGCCACCGUAAGGUGAGAGGAAGGUGGGGAUGACGUCAAAUCAGCACGGCCCUUACGUCCGGGGCGACACACGUGUUACAAUGGGUGGGACAGAGAGGAGCAAGUUAGCGAUAAUGCGCGAAUCUUCAAACCCGCUCUCAGUUCGGAUCGAAGUCUGCAACCCGACUUCGUGAAGCUGGAUUCGCUAGUAAUCGCGCAUCAGCCAUGGCG